rnacentral:rRNA from 1 species
GGAGUUAGCCGGUGCUUCUUCUGUGAGUGAUGUCCUUCCUGCCGGCUAUUAACCCGCAGGCCUUCUUCCUCACUGAAAGUGCUUUACAACCCGAAGGCCUUCUUCACACACGCGGCAUGGCUGGAUCAGGGUUGCCCCCAUUGUCCAAUAUUCCCCACUGCUGCCUCCCGUAGGAGUCUGGGCCGUGUCUCAGUCCCAGUGUGGCUGAUCAUCCUCUCAGACCAGCUACGGAUCGUCGCCUUGGUGAGCCGUUACCUCACCAACCAGCUAAUCCGACAUAGGCUCAUCCGAUAGCGCGAGGCCCGAAGGUCCCCCGCUUUCCCCCGUAGGGCGUAUGCGGUAUUAGCCUGGGUUUCCCCAGGUUAUCCCCCACUACCGGGCAGAUUCCUAUGCAUUACUCACCCGUCCGCCGCUCGCCACCAGGGAGCAAGCUCCCCGUGCUGCCGCUCGACUUGCAUGUGUUAGGCCUGCCGCCACGCGUCAUCUGAGCAUGAUACAACUACUGA